rnacentral:lncRNA from 1 species
AAAAAGAGAAAAAAGUGAAAAAUAUUCCAGACAUUAAAAAAAAAGUGAUUUAGACAAACAAUGACGAAAUUAUUCUUCCACCAUGAAGGCACUUUAGCUAUGCGAUAAUAUAUGAAGAGCUAUAAUUAUGUCACAACAUUCUUACUACACCUUAAACCACAUCCUCUCAUAUGGGAUACAUGUAUGUCAAUGAAAGUGUCCCAAUUUCAAGUGGGUGUCCUGAGUCCGUGGCCUUGGCAUGGCCAAACUAGUUUACAAGACGUCAGAUAGAUCAUCAUAUCAAAUACUUGGCAAAUAUGAUUCGAAGUGUACAUUGUUGUCGCACUUAAGAGCCCACUUUAAAAGUCUGAGUGUGAUAAUAUUUUGUCAUAGCAAAAUAGAUUUAAGAGCACAUCAUGAAUACAUUUUUUCUGUUUUAUUUAAGAUAACAUUUUUUUUGGGUGAUGGAUAUUUAUGGUUUAUUGAGUUUCCGAGCUUUAGGAAACUGAGGUUUGAGUCAAUGAGCUUCAUAUGAGGGGCAACCCACAACAUUAGGAUCAUUGUUUUAUUUUUUGAGCAAAAUGUGGGGAAUUUUUCAUGAAUUUCAUGCGGAAGAUUUAGUACACAAAAUUGAUAAAAAUAAACUAGAACAAUCAAGGCAUACCUUGAGAUCCUCGAGAAUCUAUUGAUAAUUGUUGCAAAAGUAUCGAUCCUAUGGGAAAAAAAAAUACAAAAGCAGGGUAGAUCUUCCUCUUUUUCUCCUCCUUGCUGCUUAUCUCCUUAACGAGAUAGGUGUCCCUUAAGAAUGUAGAAACCUGAAUGUCUAGGGAUUUCAUUAUAGACAAAUAUAUAUAAAAGUGGAGUGGAGAUCUAGCCAGAUCCGCAGCAUGAUUUGUCCUAUCCUAGAUCCGGAGUAUAACACUGACCGUACUAUCGAGGGGUACAACCCACAAUAAUACGAAGCCAACAUUACAUUUAACUUUCAAUAUCAUCUCAAAUGUAAUAGAAUCAAUAGGAAACCAAUUUCAUUAUUCAUUAAAAACUAAUGUUGGUUUAGAGCUUCUAAAUCUAAACAUAAAUACUAAGUCUAUAAUUCUCAAUAUUCAGAAAAUCAUUAACUACAAAUUCAUAGUCAAUUUAAAAUACUAAAAUCAUUCUACAAAAUUGUCAAGCUUGCUAGCACGAACUCCACGCCUGGACUAUCUUCCGUCCCUACUGAUCUUAUUCGCAUGAAGAGAGAAAAAUAAAAAUAGAGGUAUAUGAGCGACAGCUCAGUAAGUAAACCUUUUACUAACUUAACCGGCUCAAGCAUAAGUUUUUUCAUGCUAAUGCAUCAUUUAAGAAAAAUAACAGAUAUUCUAAAAUAAGCAUUUCAUAGUACUAUAUAUUAAAAUAAGUCAUAAAGCCAAUCA